AGAACUUUACUAUGAAUUAA
rnacentral:miRNA from 1 species